UCCCUAAUCAGUUCAUUUUUACUAAUGUUCAAGUGGGUGUGGAGAGGAUUUUAGUAGAAUUCUUGCGUUGGUUGAAGAGGUUGUGAGAGGUGAUAAGGUGAUGUCUAAAGUUCAGCCUUCUAUCGGGAAAGAGCUUCGAUGGAUUAUGUGGGAAUCUCAUUCUGGUGGUUUUUUGAAGUUAAAAUACGGAUGGAGCUGUCAAGGGGGAGGAGAGAGAAGCUUUUGGUGGAGGGUUACUAAGGGGGCAGAUGGGGCAAUGGAUUGAUGGGUUUGUGGCUCGCUGGGGAAGGCAUUCGAUCCCUAUGACUGAGCUUUGGGCUGUUUAUAUGGAGUUGAGGCUGGCCAAAUUCAGGAGAGUUGGAAAAAUUGUUGUAGAAUAUGAUAAUUUACAGGUAGUGAAUAUGCUGUUGGAUAAAAUUGAAGUUUCCGAUAGUCAAAGGGCAAUGGUGAAUAAGAUAAAAGUGUUGUUGGCGUCUGGUUGGGAAGUGCGGGUGGUUCAUGUCUUCAGAGAGGCAAAUUUUUUGGCCGAUUGGCUUGUUGGACAUGCAAGUUCAUUUCCUUUGGGUUUUCAUAGGUUGGAGUGUCCUCCUGAUGGCCUCCUGCCUUGUCUUUUGCAUGAUAAGUUUGGUGUGGCUAGUUUGACAGCCUCUUAAUGUCUUGUUUUCUCAUUUUUUGACCCAAAAAAAAGAAAAAAUUAUUGUCCCUUACCUGAAGUCCUAUUUUCUUCCAUUUUAACGAGUUUUAUUGUAACUAUUGAUUCAGAAAUUUUGAAUUUUUAUCAAAUAAUCUCUGUAAAAGAAAUUUG
rnacentral:misc_RNA from 1 species